AUGCUCAAGUACGCGGUGGAGACCGGGGACGCCUUCGUGGAGGCCGAGGGCGAUAUGGACGUGCGGCGUCUAGCCGGCGACGAGGCGCACGACAUCGUGGCAUUCCUGAGCCUGGUGCCGGAGCUGGAUGCCCGGGUGCUCCCGGCGCCCGUGCUGUCAGUGCAGGCCACUCGUCUAAGCGGCGGCCUGGCGGUGGGCCUGUCCGUGCACCACGUAGUCGCGGACGGACGCGCCGUUUGGCGAUUCAUGGAAGCCUGGUCCUCCGCUUCCCGCGAGGGCUCCCCGGUCACCAAGGUCCUCGGCCCGCCGCACUACGCCCGGGAGGUCAUCCAGCACCCCAACGGCGACGAGCUCGCCCGCGACAUGCUAAAGACCGUCGCGCCCAAUCUCCCUGUGGUGAGGGGGCAGUACGACUUCAGCCAGCGGUUCCUGCGGGCGCGCCGGACGUUCUAUCUCGGGGCCGACGACAUCCGGUCGCUCAGGCGGCGGAUCGACGACCUCGCCUCGGCCGAGUCUGCUGCCGGUGGCGACGCGCCCAAGCCGAAACCGGUGUCGACGUUCGUGGCGCUGGCGGCACUGAGCUGGACGGCGUUCGUUCGUUCCAAGGGGCUCGGCGCAGGGGACGACACGUACCUCAUGUUCCUCGCCGACCUGCGCUCCCGCCUCGACCCGCCUGUCAGUGAGGCUUACCUGGGCAACUGCGUGCGCGCGUGCUUGGCCAGCUGCGCCGACGCGGCGGACCUCCUCGGCCAGUCCGGCAUCCUCCGCGCGGCGCGGGCCGUGCAGGCGGCUGUGGCGGAGAUGGAGGCGGCGCCGUUGUCCGGGACGGACAAGGGGUGGAUGCAGAUGCUGAUGCGGCUGCCGUUUCAGCGGAUGACCAACGUGGCGGCGAGCCCUCGGUUCCGGGCCUACGAGGCGGCCGACUUCGGGUUUGGGAAGCCCGCGCGCGUGGAGCUGGUCUCCAUGAACCACGACGGUGAGAUGGUGCUGGUCGGUGGCCGGCGCGACGGCGAGGUGCAAGCCUCCGUGUCCAUUGACCCGGCGCACAUGGACGCAUUCAAGGCCUGCAUCCUCGGCUAG
rnacentral:rRNA from 1 species